GAGGGUAUAGCUCAAGUGGUAGAGCACAUGCUUAGCAUGCACAAGGUUGUGGGUUCAAUCCCCAGUGCCUCCU
rnacentral:tRNA from 1 species